AUUACUCCUACGGGAGGCAGCAGUGGGGAAUAUUGGACAAUGGGCGAAAGCCUGAUCCAGCCAUGCCGCGUGUGUGAAGAAGGUCUUCGGAUUGUAAAGCACUUUAAGUUGGGAGGAAGGGUUGUAGAUUAAUACUCUGCAAUUUUGACGUUACCGACAGAAUAAGCACCGGCUAACUCUGUGCCAGCAGCCGCGGUAAUAAU
rnacentral:rRNA from 1 species